GACGAACGCUGGCGGCGUGCUUAACACAUGCAAGUCGAGCGGUAAGGCCCUUUCGGGGGUACACGAGCGGCGAACGGGUGAGUAACACGUGGGUGACCUGCCCUCAGCUCUGGGAUAAGCCUGGGAAACUGGGUCUAAUACCGGAUAUGACUCCAUGACGCAUGUUGUGGGGUGGAAAGCCUUGUGCGGCUGGGGAUGGGCCCGCGGCCUAUCAGCUUGUUGGUGGGGUGAUGGCCUACCAAGGCGACGACGGGUAGCCGGCCUCGAGAGGGCGACCGGCCACACUGGGACUGAGACACGGCCCAGACUCCUACGGGAGGCAGCAGUGGGGAUCUUGCGCAAUGGGCGAAAGCCUGACGCAGC
rnacentral:rRNA from 1 species